GUGAAUCAUCGAAUUUUUGAACGCAAAUUGCACUCUCUUCGGAGAGUAUGCCUGUUUGAGGGUCAGCCUAAAAAAAAUCGACAUCGUUGCUGUUACGCGGUGACAUUCGUCGGAAAUUGGGUCAUCUUAAACCUUUUGGUUUAAGGGGCUUUAAAUUUUCUUUACUAUUCCAAGGACGUUUCUAAGGUUUUAUUUUCUUAUACGUUUAAGGUAUCGAUCUUUAUUAGACGUUGCCGUUGUAUCGGAUCUCGUCCAUAAAUAUUUAGUUACUUGCCUUCA
rnacentral:misc_RNA from 1 species